CCGGGGCCCUCGCCUCGCCUCGCCGCUGCCACCGCCUGCCCCAAGCCCAGCCCGCCCUUGUGCCUCCCCUGCGCACGGUCUCCCUCAGCCGCCGCCCCGGCUCCCCUCACGCGUCUCCCAGCGUCGCUGUGGGCACGAAGCGGCCAAGCGCUGUGGGAGGAGACGCGUGGCAGCGGGGUCCCGGGUGGCGGCUCCUGCCAGCGCGGGGGCGGGGGCGGCUGGGCCGGGGACGGCUGGAGGCUCUGGGCCCCCCUUGACUCCCUCGCCCCCCACAAAGUCAGGUGCAGUCAGGUAUCUGACUGAGGUGGUUGCUCUGAGUAUUACGAAUUAACAUGUAAAGGAAUGCAAAUUCUCCCUGUGGGGAAAAAAAGAAAAAGAAAAGGGCCACAGUUUGUGCUCCUGACUAUUGCCUGAAGACCUUUCAAUAGAAGAGAGAGAAGAACUUCUAAACAUUCGUCGCAGGAAAAAAGAACUAAUUGAUGAUAUUGAG